AUCAACGACGACGACGACUGCCCCGGCAUCAGGGGGCAUCAAAGUGGAAUUGGAUUCAUCUGAAAGAGGCGGGUCAUAAUUGAAGAUAUGAUGCUCCAUGCCCCAUGCUCCAGCCAUGAGCAAAGGUGACACCAAAGGGAAGACCUUCGACUGGCAAUAAAAUAAAUGCCAUUUACUGAUGAGUCAUCAGCAUAAUUUUUACGAUUUGUCCCAUUCGAUGAAUAAACAAAUAAACCAAUGGACACGGGAGCUGGGACCCGGGACUCAGGACCCUCUGGAUUGGACUCUAGUUUGAGCGUGUCACGAAAACAUUUCGCAUGCAUUGACUUUUUAUGGCAGCCCCAAACCGAGUGAACCGAACGCACGAAUCGAAAAGCCACAUGGACCGACGAGAGAGAGAGACGGAGAGGGGCACUGGGUAUCCACAAAUAAUGCAAAAUCAUUUAGUGGAACUCCUAGGCACACACACCGUACAGAUGCUGGCACCCCUCCCGCCUCAAAGUCAUAAAAUCCGGCACCGAAUGAAAUUCUCAUCAAGACGCAAGUUGGCACAAUUUCAGUUUGGCGCUGAAGCAACUUGAAAACACGACCAAAAUGAGCCCGAAUCGCAGUAGGAGUCGUUGCCACAGCCCACAGGACUCUCGGCAGUGGUCAGGCAUGGGGCCAGCAUCGUGCUGCUGCCGCUGCCACUCCUGCUCCUGGCAAUCGCGCGUGACUAACGUAAUCAGCUCACGUAACGCCUGAAUGAGAUGAGAUGAAAUCAGCAUACACUCCGGGCCACGCAGGACUAUGCUCUCCUACGCUGCCGUCGCUCCGCACCGAUUCCGACUGCAUAAAUGUCGAAUUUAUACGAAAAUGAAGCCGCGCAGGCCAUUCGACCAGCUGCUGGGGCAUCAUUCACACGGCCACCAGAUGCUUUGAGGGGUAAGUACCACCCCCCUAACGAAAUGUUUUGUAGAUCUUUGACACGCGAUACUGCCCUGGCCUGGCCGUCUUUGGUGGGUGUUCAGAUGCAAAACGAUCGCUGGAGCUGGGGAUCUUGGGAGCUUAAAGGAGGGACAAUGGAGAGAUCUAUAAAUGGCAUUCUUGGACAUUAACGAAAGAGGAGAUUUGACUCAAGUACUUAUAUGAUUACUGCCUUCGAACAAGCGAGCAGAGCGGAUUCCAUUUAAAUGCAAAGACCUAUCAUUAGACUAACGGUUCCAAAAAUGGCAAUUUCCAUUCGAGAGCGAUCGUAGAG